GGGGCGCGGGGAGGAGCAUGACGACGGGAUCGCGGGCGGGGAGAGGCAGGUUAAACCCAGGCCUUGCCAGAGUCCCGUUGGGGGAUGCGGCAGCGGCGGCCACCACUGACAGCGUCGCCUUUGGCAGGUCUGGGAGCGAGCCGCAGAUCCCAGCCGGGAGAGCGACGAGAGCCGCCCAGACAGCACGGGGAGGGCCGGGGCGGGCCCAGGCGACACCACCGCCGCAGAGAGGCGGGCACCAUGACCUCUACUGGCUGCAAUUUUCUAUGAUGAACUCAUGGCUGAAAUUCUGGAGAGGGCCAAAAGCAGGCCCAGCACCAAAGACAGAGGGACUUGCAGCUAGAGGAAAUGCUCAGGCUGGCUGCACAGCUUGAGGAUGGAAUUUCAGCAUGGGAGCAGGCACUUAUGCCAUACACAGGAAUGGUGGCUAAGGGAGGAGGACAGAGCUUAGCAGAAAGAGCUGUUUGAGUGUCUCUUAUCACUAGUGACUGCAAGAGUAGCUGCUCCUGCUGCAUCACCCACACCAUGGCCUGAGUCCCCUGCCUAUUACCCUGUGCGGCAGUCCAGAAGCAGCUUGGAAGAUUCCAUGGCUGGGUGAUCCAUGCAACCUUGCCUAUCCAGCCUUCCAUAUUGACCUCCUCCCCUGUGUACAGGCAAACUGGGAAAGGAGAACUGGUGGCCAAGAGGUCAGGGAUGUGGCAGAGGGUAUCUGUCUUUUAUGUGGUUUCACUGUUCUUACUUGUUCGUGCACUUUGUUUUUAUUGGCGGGGGGGUUUCUGUAAGGUUCUGUUGUUAUUGGUAUAUUGGCAUGGUAAUAGCAGCUGGCCUGCCUGGGAAUGAGUGAAUGUUGUCCUUUUCUAAUACAUGUUUAUAAAUAAAGUUUUUUAUUUCAUCAA